rnacentral:lncRNA from 1 species
GUGCUGUGCCUCUGAAGAGAUGGCCAAACAGUUCUGAUUUAUGGAGAGCUACAUAAAAUCUUUUUUAAAAAGAUAACAUGUUUUCUAAAAUUCCAACAAAGGCAAGAAAGUAAAAUAAACUUUAGUUGGCCUUUUGCAAGAACUAUCAUUAAAAGAGGUUUCUGGACUUAGUUGAGAGCAGUUUGUUUACAUGAGGGAAAUGGCCAUGGAUUGUCACCUACUGUCAGAGCCCAGGGGCCCACACACUUAACUGUCCCUGGUUCAGCGUUAUUCCUUAGCACUUCAUCCAGUUGCUGGUUGGAAGUAAUGAGGUAUGUCCCGGUUUCUUCCUAUUUAUAGAACUGAGGCGAUGACCAGAAAUGACAGAUGGGGCUUAUGUUAGUUAGCGUUUAAAUUCAACUCUGGAGCUCCAGGCCAAGAAUGAGGAGUGGGCUCUUAACUUUCCUAUUUCCUUUGUUAACCCAUUUCUAUUAAUCAACUAUAUAUGUACUUAAAACUGGCAAAGGCAAAUUAUCUUCUCUUACAUACUAAAUAAGAACUUCUAAAUAAUUGCAAAACUCAAAAUAAGUGAAGUUUAUUAUAUUCUUGUUGUUAUUCAGGGAACUUCCCCUCUACCCCCGAUGCAGCCUCAAUCAUUAAUGAUUUAAUUUUAACAUUUUACAAUUAUAUAAGAAGAAAGAGACUAGACAUAGUGGUGCACACCUGUAAUCCUAGCUACUUGGGAGGUUGAGAUAGUGGGCUCAGGAGUUUGAGGCUAUAGUGCCUUAUGAUCACACCUGUGAAUAGCACUGCCCUCCAGCCUGGGCAAUGUAGCAAGAGCCAUCUCUAAAAUUUUGUUUUUUAGUUUUAACAAUUAAAAAGAAAAGAAGAAAGUUAAUUUAUUAUCCUGUCUGAAUUUGUUCACCUAUUACCAGGCUUAGAAUGCCAUCCUUUAAGUGAAAGAAUAUCGAUUCUUUCAUUUCAAUUGAUUAUAUGUUUUUAAAAGUUCAUGCUGAUCUCUGAAUUUUACCAUUCAUUCAUAUAACAAAUAUUCAUUAUGUGCCAUGUGCUAGGCAUUUACUAGAGAAGUUACAGUAAAAAACACACAAUCCUUACUCCUGUGCAGCAUUUUAUAUCUUGUGUAGACGACAAACAAGUGUGUAGAGAAUUAUAAUAAACCCAGUACAGGAGUAUGAUCAGUUCUAGGAUGAGAUUAAGUGCAAGGUGCUAUGGAAGCAUUUAAGAGAGACAUACAACUCAAUCUUUGGGCCCAGGAAACUUUCCAGUGAAAGUAAUAUAUGAGCUAAGAGCUGAAGGAUAAGUAGGAG